GAUGAACGCUGGCGGCGUGCCUAAUACAUGCAAGUCGAGCGAACAGACGAGGAGCUUGCUCCUCUGACGUUAGCGGCGGACGGGUGAGUAACACGUGGAUAACCUACCUAUAAGACUGGGAUAACUUCGGGAAACCGGAGCUAAUACCGGAUAAUAUAUUGAACCGCAUGGUUCAAUAGUGAAAGACGGUUUUGCUGUCACUUAUAGAUGGAUCCGCGCCGCAUUAGCUAGUUGGUAAGGUAACGGCUUACCAAGGCAACGAUGCGUAGCCGACAUGAGAGGGUGAUCAGCCACACUGGAACUGAGACACGGUCCAGACUCCUACGGGAGGCAGCAGUAGGGAAUCUUCCGCAAUGGGAGAAAGCCUGACGGAGCAACGCCGCGUGAGUGAUGAAGGUCUUCGGAUCGUAAAACGCUGUUAUUAGGGAAGAACAAAUGUGUAAGUAACUAUGCACGUCUUGACGGUACCUAAUCAGAAAGCCACGGCUAACUACGUG
rnacentral:rRNA from 1 species